GUUUACGCAGACAGCUGCGUGAGACGUGACGGGAUCCGCUCUGCGCUGUCUGACCUGGAGAGGUGGCGUGAACACCGACGUGGCGACUGCGCUGCAGCCGAGAUCAUCUCGCUUCUUCUCAAAUGGGCGGCGGCGGGUUGAUCCUCCCGUCCGUCCGUCCUUUUCCAGAUGCGAGCGGCGCUUUCUGCCCAGUGCAAAACGUGACGGGAGACGCGUCGAUUGCAAAGUGUGACGCGACAACCGGAAUGUAAAAAGAUCCGAUUGAACCUCCUCUGCAGACACACCUCAAGCUCCUCGGCGACGGGCUCAUUCGUCCCCAUUACGGAGGCGAUCCCGAAGAAAGUGAACCGGGACCAGAUGCCGUUGUUACAAUGCGAGUUCAUUUGCAGGUUUAACAAGUCACAUUGUGUAAAGCAACAAUAAGACAAUGGCUCUUUGGCAAACGGGGCGAGCGUGCCGGGUCGGCUCGCUGGAGGGCUUCCACUCAUUGUCACCCGCCGGGAAGAUUUGAUCACAGAAACGUGUCCCGGUUUCUGCCUGGUGGUCACCGAGCUUCCGUGUUGUAAAUAAGCAGGACAUUUUUUACCCGACGGCUUCCUGUCGUGGGAGGCGGGUCUUUGGUUUUCACUCCAGAGUCCAGAGCGACUCGACUCCCUGCCAACCCUCUUUGUGCGGGACGCACUUCUCAGAAGGUUACGCAAUGAGGAAAGAGCUCCACGAGACGCGCGAGUGGAGGGGGGAGAAAAAACAGAGAAGAGAAGACUGAUUCUGGUGAAUUCCUCUGGAGCCGGAGUGGAGGUAUUUCUGCGUAAACCUCCUGAACGCCGCUGUGUGCCGCGGCGGUUGCGUGGUG
ensembl:lncRNA